GGGCGGUUCGCCGGUUCGCGAACAUUUGCGGAAGUUCGCGUUUGCCGUUCGCGAACCGAAAAUUUCGGGUUCGCGACAUCACUAAUGCUCACUACAGAAAAGCUCACUGACACACACACAUACUUCCAACAGACAAGCCCACUGACACACACAUGCGAGCUCACUCACUAGCAGACACACACACACACACACACACACACACAAGCUCACUUACUAGCAGGCACACACACAAGCUCUCUCACUAGCAGACACACACAUACAAAAUCUCACUCACUAGCAGACCCACACACAAGCUCACUCACUAGCAGACACACACACACACAAGCUCACUCACUAGCAAGCACACACAUACACACACACAAGCUCACUCACUAGCAGGCACACACACAUACAAGCUCACUCACCAGCAGGCGCGUGCACGCACACACACAAGUUCACUCACUAGCAGGUACACACACACACAAGCUCACUCACUAGCAG